rnacentral:misc_RNA from 1 species
GAUGAAGAACGUAGCGAAAUGCGAUAAGUAAUGUGAAUUGCAGAAUUCAGUGAAUCAUCGAAUCUUUGAACGCACAUUGCGCCCGCCAGUAUUCUGGCGGGCAUGCCUGUUCGAGCGUCAUUUCAACCAUCAAGCCCCCGGCUUGUGUUGGGGACCUGCGGCUGCCGCAGGCCCUGAAAAGCAGUGGCGGGCUCGCUGUCACACCGAGCGUAGUAGCAUACAUCUCGCUCUGGGCGUGCUGCGGGUUCCGGCCGUUAAACCACCUUCAUAACCCAAGGUUGACCUCGGAUCAGGUAGGAAGACCCGCUGAACUUAAGCAUAUCAAUAACGGAGGA